GGAUCUUUAGCUCAGUUGGUUAGAGCGUUCGCUUCACACGCGAGAGGUCGCUGGUUCGAAUCCAGUAAGAUCCACCA
rnacentral:tRNA from 1 species